CCUCAGGGUGGCCCCUGGGCUCACGGCAUGUCCUUUCCCUGCAGGGUGUCCGUGCCGCUGCUCAAGAUGCUGGACCAAGAUGCUGGCCAACGGCUGCUUCGACAUCUUCACGGCAGAGGAGGACCACCCCUUUUGUGUGAAGCUGCUGGAGCUUUGUAAGGCGGAAACCAGCAAGUCCAAGGACGUCCAGAAACUGCGGUCCAGCAUCACCGUAUCCGCAAGACGACAGCGAGCCAGGUGUACGAGAUGCUGCUCACCUACAGCGGCGUGGUGGGCGCGGACGUCCUGGACGAGGUCAUGGCUGUGCUCAGCGACACCGCCUGGGACUUGGAGCUCCUGCUCGUAAGAGGCCAUCGGAACCGCCUGUGUGACCUCCUCGGGGUGCCCAGACCUCAGCUGGUCCCCAAGCCUGCUGUCCGCUGAGGCCAGUCCUGGGAGCCGAGUAGCGCUUGUGCCGUCUGCUGGGAGGAGCCGCCAGAUGCCGCUCAGGACAGGAAACCUGGUGCAGGACCCCGGCCCUGGCUGAAACGUGUGCGGAGGAGUCGUCACCACAGGCGCUCUUUAUUACGGGCGUCUGCGCUCUAGUGACCCCAUGUCGGUGCUUUUGUCUGUUUAAACUCGAGUCCACGUCUUAUAAAAUCACGUGCUGAGCAGUCUA